rnacentral:rRNA from 1 species
GACGCCAGUCUGCAUGGAGCCGACCUUGAAAUACCACCCUUUAAUGUUUGAUGUUCUAACGUUGACCCGUAAUCCGGGUUGCGGACAGUGUCUGGUGGGUAGUUUGACUGGGGCGGUCUCCUCCUAAAGAGUAACGGAGGAGCACGAAGGUUGGCUAAUCCUGGUCGGACAUCAGGAGGUUAGUGCAAUGGCAUAAGCCAGCUUGACUGCGAGCGUGACGGCGCGAGCAGGUGCGAAAGCAGGUCAUAGUGAUCCGGUGGUUCUGAAUGGAAGGGCCAUCGCUCAACGGAUAAAAGGUACUCCGGGGAUAACAGGCUGAUACCGCCCAAGAGUUCAUAUCGACGGCGGUGUUUGGCACCUCGAUGUCGGCUCAUCACAUCCUGGGGCUGAAGUAGGUCCCAAGGGUAUGGCUGUUCGCCAUUUAAAGUGGUACGCGAGCUGGGUUUAGAACGUCGUGAGACAGUUCGGUCCCUAUCUGCCGUGGGCGCUGGAGAACUGAGGGGGGCUGCUCCUAGUACGAGAGGACCGGAGUGGACGCAUCACUGGUGUUCGGGUUGUCAUGCCAAUGGCACUGCCCGGUAGCUAAAUGCGGAAGAGAUAAGUGCUGAAAGCAUCUAAGCACGAAACUUGCCCCGAGAUGAGUUCUCCCUGACUCCUUGAGAGUCCUGAAGGAACGUUGAAGACGACGACGUUGAUAGGCCGGGUGUGUAAGCGCAGCGAUGCGUUGAGCUAACCGGUACUAAUGAACCGUGAGGCUUAACCUU